rnacentral:sRNA from 1 species
GCUGUCCGCCCUCCUUGGGCGUUUCCUCCCUAAGACUUGGGCCGCCGCUUUUGCGACGGCCCCUUUUCUUUUCAGC